rnacentral:tRNA from 2 species
GCAGACCUACUAACUAAUAGUGCCAGACAUGCAAGAUUGAGGGUCUUGUGAGCGUACGCUCGUGUGGGUUCAAAUCCCAUCGUCUGCA